rnacentral:tRNA from 2 species
GGAUGGGUGGCCGAGUGGUUUAAGGCACCGGUCUUGAAAACCGGCGUGGGUGCAAGCCCACCGUGGGUUCGAAUCCCACCCCAUCCG